rnacentral:miRNA from 1 species
AGCCUGCUGGGAGCGAAAUUGA